rnacentral:hammerhead_ribozyme from 1 species
AUCCAGCUGACGAGUCCCAAAUAGGACGAGACGCGCGCCUUGGAU